rnacentral:rRNA from 1 species
GCUCAGGACGAACGCUGGCGGCGUGCCUAACACAUGCAAGUCGAGCGAGUUGAUUCUCUUCGGAGAUGAAGCUAGCGGCGGACGGGUGAGUAACACGUGGGCAACCUGCCUCAUAGAGGGGAAUAGCCUCCCGAAAGGGAGAUUAAUACCGCAUAAGAUUGUAGCUUCGCAUGAAGUAGCAAUUAAAGGAGCAAUCCGCUAUGAGAUGGGCCCGCGGCGCAUUAGCUAGUUGGUGAGGUAACGGCUCACCAAGGCGACGAUGCGUAGCCGACCUGAGAGGGUGAUCGGCCACAUUGGGACUGAGACACGGCCCAGACUCCUACGGGAGGCAGCAGUGGGGAAUAUUGCACAAUGGGGGAAACCCUGAUGCAGCAACGCCGCGUGAGUGAUGACGGCCUUCGGGUUGUAAAGCUCUGUCUUCAGGGACGAUAAUGACGGUACCUGAGGAGGAAGCCACGGCUAACUACGUGCCAGCAGCCGCGGUAAU